rnacentral:rRNA from 1 species
GACGAACGCUGGCGGCGUGCUUAACACAUGCAAGUCGAACGGAAAGGCCCUGCUUGCAGGGUACUCGAGUGGCGAACGGGUGAGUAACACGUGGGUGAUCUGCCCUGCACUUCGGGAUAAGCCUGGGAAACUGGGUCUAAUACCGGAUAGGAGCCAUCUUUAGUGUGAUGGUUGGAAAGUUUUUUCGGUGUAGGAUGAGCUCGCGGCCUAUCAGCUUGUUGGUGGGGUAAUGGCCUACCAAGGCGGCGACGGGUAGCCGGCCUGAGAGGGUGGACGGCCACAUUGGGACUGAGAUACGGCCCAGACUCCUACGGGAGGCAGCAGGGGGGAAUAUUGCACAAUGGGCGCAAGCCUGAUGCAGCGACGCCGCGUGGGGGAUGACGGCCUUCGGGUUGUAAACUCCUUUCGCUAGGGACGAAGCUUUUUGUGACGGUACCUAGAUAAGAAGCACCGGCUAACUACGUG